AAGGAAUAUUGGACAAUGGACGGAAGUCUGAUCCAGCCAUGCCGCGUGAAGGAUGAAGGCGCUCAGCGUUGUAAACUUCUUUUGGAUGGGGACAAUAAUCUCGAUUUAUCGGGACUUGAGGGUACCAUCAGAAUAAGCACCGGCUAACUCCGUGCCAGCAGCCGCGGUAAUACGGAGGGUGCAAGCGUUAUCCGGAAUCACUGGGUUUAAAGGGUGCGUAGGCGGUCAGAUAAGUCAGUCGUGAAAUUCCUCGGCUUAACCGGGUGGACUGCGAUUGAUACUGUUUGACUUGAAUGAGGUUGAGGUAGGCGGAAUGUGGCAUGUAGCGGUGAAAUGCUUAGAUAUGCCAUAGAACACCGAUUGCGAAGGCAGCUUGCUGGGCCUUCAUUGACGCUGAGGCACGAAAGCGUGGGGAGCAAAC
rnacentral:rRNA from 1 species